AAAACCCGUAUUUCUUGAAAAAGAACCUAAAUUUUCGACAACUCAUCGUUGGAUUUCCAUUCUUACGAUAUAAAAGCAAGUGUUCGUCUGCUCCCAUAUCAUUAUCUCAAGGGCGCGAUAGUCUUUAGCAAAUCAAGUAGGAGCAGACUUAUUGGCAAACUUUAAUACUUGGAGCUCCUCCAGAUUAAACGUCGACGACGUCACUUUCGGCCAAAGCAGAUGGGUAACUCAGGUGGAGGAGGUGGCCAGGGUGGUACUGAUGGCGGCGGUGGUGGCGGUGGCGGAGGUGGAGGUUUCGGUGGCGGUGGGGGUUCCGGCGGCGGUGGCAGCAAAAUCUGGGGUUCCGGAGGCCGCUCUUACGGCAUUCCUGUCGGGGUUAUGAACACCAGAAACAUCGACAAUUCUAUUGACUUCCAGUUUCUGCAGAAUGAUAUCCUCAUGAGCAGGACUUGGGACGCUUUCUAACGUGCCAUUUUACUUUGUCAUAAUAUAAAAUCAUUGUUCUGUAUUUUUCUAUGUUAAAUAAUGUGUUUUAGUUUGAUCGCAAAAAUUGUUGGACAAUAAAAUGUGUCAGUGGGAAAAGGGAAUGGGCAAAAUAUGAAUAAAACAUAAACACAUA